UAGUCCACGCCGUAAACGAUGGAUACUAGCUGUCCGGUCUUCGGACUGGGCGGCCAAGCGAAAGUGAUAAGUAUCCCACCUGGGGAGUACGUUCGCAAGAAUGAAACUCAAAGGAAUUGACGGGGGCCCGCACAAGCGGUGGAGCAUGUGGUUUAAUUCGAUGAUACGCGAGGAACCUUACCAGGGCUUAAAUGUAGAUUGACAGGUUUAGAGAUAGACUUUUCUUCGGACAAUUUACAAGGUGCUGCAUGGUUGUCGUCAGCUCGUGCCGUGAGGUGUCAGGUUAAGUCCUAUAACGAGCGCAACCCCUGCCGUUAGUUGCCAGCAUUUAAAGAUGGGGACUCUAACGGGACUGCCGGUGCAAACCGCGAGGAAGGUGGGGACGACGUCAAAUCAUCACGGCCCUUACGUCCUGGGCUACACACGUGCUACAAUGGCCGGUACAGAGAGUUGCCACAUCGCAAGAUGGAGCGGAUCUUUUAAAACCGGUCACAGUUCGGAUCGGGGUCUGCAACUCGA
rnacentral:rRNA from 1 species